CUGACGUCAGUUCAACAUGCAGUGAAACAAAUGCAGGCGCGGUAACGAGUUAGCUGAUGAAAGUGAAUUGAGCUCAUGUUUCUGAUGAGAGGACAGAGGAGAAGAAUGGAGGUAUAAAGCAGAAGUGAAGAUAGCAGCCUCAUACCUGUUGCACUAGCUGCGCUCAGACCGAAAUGAUGGAUUUCAUCUGGAUUCAAACGUGGCGCUGAGGGGAAUAAGCACACUCUUCAACAGAGGCUCAGUGACACUGCAGGCUGUGUAAGGACCUUUCCAGGCCGCCUACAUGGGCGGGUGUGUGUGCUGCGUGGAGGAGGGCGAGGCGGCAGCAGAGGAUGAUGAGAGCGAGGGAGGAGGGGGCUGAGGGGCGGUGGUGGAGGAGGAGGAGGUGGAAGUGGUGGUGGCAGUGGCAGCGCAGCCGAUGAUGAUGAUGAUGUCUCUAUCUUGCUGCUGUGUGUGAUGAAGCGCAGGCGCAGCUUCAUGGCUGGACGCAAAGUCAUGAUGAUUUUCUCCACCUAGAGAGGGAUGGAGGCAGACGGAUGGACAGAGGAAGAGAGAGAAAUACACAGAUGUUGACAAAAGGAUAAUUCAGUAAGAUAAGGAGGAAAAUAGGGAACGUUAGGAAAAACAACAAAUGCCAGCGACAUGACGUUGAUCAUGUUUAAACUGACCUGUGGAGUUAAUUCUCUGAAGCACUUAGUUUUGAAUCACAGCCCCCAAAUAUACAAAAUGUAGAGUCUGGGUAAAGACUACUCUCAGUGUACAACAAUGGCUUUGUCUAUUAAAUUAGUGAUUUGAAAAGUCGAUAUAAAAGAACACUUGUUUAAGCCUCAAGCACAAAGUGAAGCUACAGUUUCAUCUCCUAAUUAACUCUGUGUCAGGGCUGGACACUGGUGGGGACUUGUCUUGCUGCACAGGAGGUGACAGGUUCAAACUAAAAAUGGAAACACAAAACUGUCUCCUGAGGAGCAGCGAGUUCACAAAUGUCAUCUUAAUUGAAAGCUAGGUGAUGAAGGACUCCAUUUGUCUUUAUUUCUAGUAUGUAUAACAGUUGUGUUUUGUCAGUUUUAUUUUCUGUUAUACUCUAUUAUUUUCAUUAUGGUCUACCUGUUCAAACAUGCUCGUGUACUCAGACUGACAGCUAUAAUGACACAAUAAUAAAAGUCGAUUAUUGAAUUUCAAGUUGAUGAUUAAAGCUCACCUGUUCCUUCA